AGGGGAGCGGCAGACGGGUGAGUAACGCGUGGGAAUCUACCUUUUGCUACGGAAUAACGCAGGGAAACUUGUGCUAAUACCGUAUGUGUCCUUCGGGAGAAAGAUUUAUCGGCAAGAGAUGAGCCCGCGUUGGAUUAGCUAGUUGGUGGGGUAAAGGCCUACCAAGGCGACGAUCCAUAGCUGGUCUGAGAGGAUGAUCAGCCACAUUGGGACUGAGACACGGCCCAAACUCCUACGGGAGGCAGCAGUGGGGAAUAUUGGACAAUGGGCGCAAGCCUGAUCCAGCCAUGCCGCGUGAGUGAUGAAGGCCCUAGGGUUGUAAAGCUCUUUCACCGGAGAAGAUAAUGACGGUAUCCGGAGAAGAAGCCCCGGCUAACUUCGUGCCAGCAGCCGCGGUAAUACGAAGGGGGCUAGCGUUGUUCGGAAUUACUGGGCGUAAAGCGCACGUAGGCGGAUCGAUCAGUCAGGGGUGAAAUCCCAGGGCUCAACCCUGGAACUGCCUUUGAUACUGUCGAUCUGGAGUAUGGAAGAGGUGAGUGGAAUUCCGAGUGUAGAGGUGAA
rnacentral:rRNA from 1 species